GAAAUGCGAUACGUAAUGCGAAUUGCAGAGCCCGCGAGUCAUCGAAACUUUGAACGCAUCUUGCGCUUCCGGGUAACCGGGAGCAUGUCUGUUGGAGUGCCUGUUCUCAACCACAACAGCUUACUUUUUUGUGUUGUAAAUUGUAUGCUGUGCGUCGGCUGUUUUCUUCUUUGAAGAAGAGAAAUAGUCCCAGAUGAGAACAAUUGAAACUCCUUCAAAGUGGUUGUGUAUGUAUGCUGCUGCAUGUGGAGUGUCGUGAUGGAUUCAUUUCCCCAACACUCUGGAAAAAACACAUUCGCAUCAUGUCAUCUCAUCUCAACCCUAACUGCUUUUAGGAGCGAAUUAUUUGUAUCGGGCCUCCAAUCAGACAAGAAGACCCGCUGAAUUUAA
rnacentral:misc_RNA from 1 species